GUCUAUGGCCAUACCACCCUGAACACGCCUCAUCUCGUCUGAUCUCGGAAGCUAAGCAGGGUCAGGCCUGGUGAGUACUUGGAUGGGAGAAACCCUAUGCUCGAUGCU
rnacentral:rRNA from 1 species